rnacentral:rRNA from 1 species
GUCCAGACUCCUACGGGAGGCAGCAGUGGGGAAUAUUGCACAAUGGGGGAAACCCUGAUGCAGCGACGCCGCGUGAGUGAAGAAGUAUUUCGGUAUGUAAAGCUCUAUCAGCAGGGAAGAAAAUGACGGUACCUGACUAAGAAGCCCCGGCUAACUACGUGCCAGCAGCCGCGGUAAUACGUAGGGGGCAAGCGUUAUCCGGAUUUACUGGGUGUAAAGGGAGCGUAGACGGCAUGGCAAGUCAGAUGUGAAAGCCCGGGGCUCAACCCCGGGACUGCAUUUGAAACUGUCAGGCUGGAGUGCAGGAGAGGUAAGUGGAAUUCCUAGUGUAGCGGUGAAAUGCGUAGAUAUUAGGAGGAACACCAGUGGCGAAGGCGGCUUACUGGACUGUAACUGACGUUGAGGCUCGAAAGCGUGGGGAGCAAACAGGAUUAGAUACCCCAGUAAC